CUACGGGGCGCACCAGUGAGGAAUAUUGCACAAUGGGGGGAACCCUGAUGCAGCAACGCCGCGUGGAGGAUGACGCAUUUCGGUGUGUAAACUCCUUUUAUAUGUCAAGAAAAUGACGGCAGCAUAUGAAUAAGCACCGGCUAACUCCGUGCCAGCAGCCGCGGUAAUACGGAGGGUGCAAGCGUUACUCGGAAUCACUGGGCGUAAAGGACGCGUAGGCGGGCUUGUAAGUCAGGUGUGAAAUCCUACAGCUUAACUGUAGAACUGCACUUGAAACUACGAGCCUAGAGUAUGGGAGGGGGAGAUGGAAUUAGUGGUGUAGGGGUAAAAUCCGUAGAUAUCACUAGGAAUACCUAAAGCGAAGGCGAUCUCCUGGAACAUAACUGACGCUAAGGCGUGAAAGCGUGGGGAGCAAACAGGAUUAGAUACCCUCGUAGUC
rnacentral:rRNA from 1 species